rnacentral:rRNA from 1 species
UACGGAAGGGGCAAGCGUUGUUCGGAAUCAUUGGGCGUAAAGGGCGCGUAGGUGGUUCUGUAUGUCUACCGUGAAAGCAUACAGCUCAACUGUAUUUUGUCGGUAGAAACUGCAGGACUUGAGGUUGGGAGGGGCUGGUGGAAUUCCCUGUGUAGCGGUGAAAUGCGUAGAGAUGGGGGAGAACACUCGUGGCGAAGGCGGCCAGCUAGACCAGUUCUGACACUGAGGCGCGACAGCGUGGGGAGCAAACAGG